UUCAGCUAGGGGGCAGCCGCCAACAGUCGCAGACCAGCCACGUAGAACUCCAAGAAUCUGAAUCAGGGGUCGAGGGACCCAUUUCUGUGCACACCGAGGGAAGGAUAAGACUGGCAACGACCCCUUGUGAGGGUGACAGGAUGAUCUUUGCAAGGGUCUCCUAGUGCCAGGUUUAGAUUACAGGCAAUUGUGUCUACUGAUCCUCCAGCCUCAUACGCCACCCACUUACGAGGUGCGUCCCUGGUGUCUGCCCAGUGCCUCCCCUCCCCCAUGUAGUCCGGUUCCAUCCUCGAGGGCUUUCCGAGAACUGCAGCAGGUGGCUUUGGUUUAUGAAUAGCAAGGACACCCAGGGACAUAAACUGGUUGAGGCUUCUGAUCAAGUACAUAUACCGGGCUCAAUGACCUCCGAAGGAGCUGGUGGGUAAGGUGAAAAGGUCAUACGCCUUCUGGGAAGUGGCAUUUAUAGACAUACUGCCACCACAGAGACUGACUCCUACCUGGUACAAGGGGUUGCAAAGAUUUGGGAAUGCUGGCAAGGAGACUCUGGUCAAAGGUUUUGGCUGAAAAACUAGGGUCAUUCAGGGAGAAAGAUCGCUCAGGACACUGGUGCCCUAGGCCAGGACUCUGCGUUGGAUGUCUGGGCUGGGCGCUGAAUUGAGGCUUGUCCGUUGUGCGGAUCUCCCUCCUGGGCUCCCGCGCAGGACCCACUGGCUCCAGAGUCCAGCCUUCUUUCCGGCCCUGGUUACCAGCCCCGCCUCCAACGCAGCCUCUCCCUCCCUGCCCCACCGCAGCGCCAACCCUGCGUGCAGAGAGCCAGCCCCGGAGCGCCCCCGUUCUGAGACGGGGUCAUGCACUUUACUGUGGCUCAGAAUGAAUGUGUCAUACAUCCAAGAGUGACCUUGGAUUCCUGAUCCUUUUGCCUGUACCUGCUGAGGUUACAGAUGCAGUGUGAGUAAUGGAGACACAUGAGUUGAAGGCUGAGGGAAGAAGAGGAGGCCUCAUCCACCAGUCCCUACUGCCCACAUCCACCAAUGUCUCCAUGGGGAGUUAGCAAACACUUGGGUGUCUGGGAAGCUGCAUGAGAGGACUCUGCUGGCUGUAAAACCAGGAACUAAUCUGAGUGAGAAAACGAUGAAAUCAUGAAGAUGAUGUUAGCGCCUCAGACUCUGAGAAGGAGGGGGCAGCUGAGUUGGAGGAAGAGACUGAGCUGAGAGAGCAGUUCUCUCCUUCUCUAUCUUCUUGUACAUGAACGGUGCUGCAGAAACAUACACAAACAUGUUUGAUCCUUUUUAGAAUGUCAGACUUAUUUGAUUAACAUUAAAUUCACAAGAUUUAGUGGUCUCAGUGUCAACAGUUUGUCGUGUAUAAUCCUGCCUCCGUUGGUCAUCUGUCAGACAUGAAUGCAGGCU